rnacentral:ncRNA from 1 species
UACCUGGUUGAUCCUGCCAGUAGUCAUAUGCUUGUCUCAAAGAUUAAGCCAUGCAAGUCUAAGUACGAGCUCUCGUACAGUGAAACUGCGAAUGGCUCAUUAAAUCAGUUAUGGUUCGUUUGAUCGUACAGUUUACUUGGAUAACUGUGGUAAUUCUAGAGCUAAUACAUGCGAGAAGCGCCGACCUCGCGGGAGGCGUGCAUUUAUCAGACCAAAAACCGGCCGCGUCUUCGGGCGCGUUCGCCUUGGUGACUCUGGAUAACUUUGCGGAUCGCACGGUCUAGCACCGGCGACGGAUCAUUCAAGUGUCUGCCCUAUCAACUUUCGUCGGUACGGUAUUUGCCUACCGAGGUUCUUACGGGUGACGGGGAAUCACGGUUCGAUUCCGGAGAGGGAGCCUGAGAACGGCUACCCAUCCAAGGAAGGCAGCAGGCGCGCAAAUUACCCAUU